GUCAUGGAGCAGAAAACCAAACCACUGUUCAGUCAAAGUAUUUCAAAACGUAGGUUGUUCACGAAGCAGGGAACCAAACACUGUUCAGUCAGUCUUGCAAAACAUAUUUUGACAACAGAGCAUGGAACAAAGCGUUGAUAAGUCAAAGUCUUGCAAUCAUGUGUUGAUCUUGGAGCAAGGAACCAAAGCAAUGUUUAGUACUACAAGGUCAAAUUUCCGGCGUUCUAUCUAAAUGGCCAGUAACUAUAUGACCUUGGCGUCUGUAGCCAGUGGCUGAAGUCCAUCAGUCUUUAUGAUGCUGCGCUCAUGGAACCUGGGAAACUGUCAAAGAGCAAAUGUGAUUGACAAGAAAGGGACUUCUGUAGCUGUUGAUCAUCGGGGGCGUAAAUGCACUUCCUGUCGUUACCGACGCCGACGACAGUCCACUUUGUCCCGGUAGAAUCAUUGGCUGAGCUAGAGAACUUAUGGAGGUGAAGGACGUUAACGGGUGGCCAUAAGGAGCGACCCCCAGGGAAGCAAUUGGCAUCACAGGGGUCAUAUUUGGGCCAACCUUCUCCCCCUUACAUCAGACGAAUAAACUUAACCUGUGUUAGCUAAGGACAUUGUUGAUCAAGUAGCGCCAAAUCGUCAUUUCUGCAAUCUGAUUCGCUAUGACAGUGUAGAGGGCGUUUUUCAACGCAAAUGACCGACAUCUGCCGAAUACACAUGACGUCAUAUUACGUAACAACCACUAUACGGCGAAACCAAUAAUACUUCUAUUGAUUACCAUCGACUCCGUAACUGUUAGGUUACGCAAUCGCCCAGGGCUGUAUUGGUUUUAGCCGAAUGUUUAUCUAUAACUGGGUCGCUCGGUCCAUAGAAAUUAUACAGGUAUAUAGCAAAUAUUAUAUGACCGUCGUCUGGCUUGGAGUUAAUUAAGAGUCCGAAGUGAAAUAAGCGAGACUAAUUCUUUUAUUUGUUUUGCGUAACGUGUUGCAUUUCUGCACAAUACAUCUACGAGCAAGAGGUUAACCUGUCUGGGACGAUAUUGCAAAGUAUUGUAGCCGUUUAAAGAUUAGUAAAAUGUUGUAACAAAAAAUGUUGUUUUUUUUAGACAAAUGUUUGUGAACUGCGUAGUUUCUACCCACAGUGAAUGUGAACAGCUAAAUUUAGAAAUAUACUUGCUAUUUUUAUGAGGGACACGUUAUAAUAAAUUUUAGAAAAGCUACCAAAGAUAUUUUGAUGGUGAAAAGUGUUCUGAAAAAUUUCCUUUAAAAACCAAAACGGACAUUUAACUGCCUCAGUAUUCAGGAGAACAACAAAAAUCCGAGUGCGCGUGCUGUUGAAUAAAACGAAACGCCUAUAUAAAUUCUGUUUCUACAUGCUAAAGAUAUUCAUAAGCAUUGUCAUUUUUGCAGUGUAACUUUAUUGUCUUAAGUAUUUUGUCAAAGAUGCAGUUUUAACAAAAAAAGAAGCAACGCCCACUGUUGACUAAGGCGGACAAAUACUGUUCAUUUUGAUUCAGGAAUCAUGGUUAUAACAAACAAAUAAAACAAGUAUCGGCACAUCCCAGGUUGAGUUAUAUCAAUCCUUUUUAUAAACUUAAUAAUCUUACAACUAGUUGUUUAAAAUGUCAGAAAGGGGAGGUUUGGGCACCAGCUUUUGCCUGCCUUUGCCACAUUGAGUGCGAGAUUCAAAUCGUACUCAGGAAUGUAUUGUACCAUAACACGUGUAUGGCAGCUAGAGACGUAAGUGUCAAGCACGUGCAUUGAUAACAUUUUUCACUGAUUAAAAAGAAAUGAUGUUUCAAAGUGUAUGCGUUCUGUUUACAGUGAUGUUUAAACAGAAUGUGUCAUCAAUAUUUGCACAUGAACAAUUAAAUGUUGACAAAACUUCUUCUAAAGGAAAUAGACUGAUCCGGGUCUUAGGUUACAAAUAAACUCGUGUAUAUAUUUUAUUGUGUCUUUUUUUUCGAUAUACAAGUUCAGCGCAUUCUAAAAACAAGGUCAUUUGGCACAGAAGUAAAUGACCACGUGCACCUAAGGAAGCAAUUUUCAACUUUGAUAUAUGUUGAGAUAAAAUUCUGCACCUGUCCAGUUUAGAAUCUUCACAGACGGAGUCAUCAACGGUACAUCACCGUGCACAUGCGCCGUCAGUCAAA